rnacentral:rRNA from 1 species
UACGGAGGGUGCAAGCGUUGUCCGGAUUUAUUGGGUUUAAAGGGUGCGUAGGCGGCCCAUUAAGUCAGCGGUGAAAGCCUGGGGCUCAACCCCGGAACCGCCGUUGAUACUGGUGGGCUUGAGUAUGGACGAGGUUGGCGGAAUUGAGGGUGUAGCGGUGAAAUGCUUAGAUACCCUCAAGAACACCGAUUGCGUAGGCAGCUAACUAGGCCAUAACUGACGCUGAGGCACGAAAGCGUGGGGAGCGAACAGG